rnacentral:rRNA from 1 species
AUUGAACGCUGGCGGCAGGCUUAACACAUGCAAGUCGAGCGGUAACAGAGAGAAGCUUGCUUCUCUGCUGACGAGCGGCGGACGGGUGAGUAAUGCCUAGGAAUCUGCCUAGUAGUGGGGGAUAACUUGCCGAAAGGUAAGCUAAUACCGCAUACGUCCUACGGGAGAAAGGAGGGGACCUUCGGGCCUUUCGCUAUUAGAUGAGCCUAGGUCGGAUUAGUUAGCUGGUGAGGUAAUGGCUCACCAAGACCGCGAUCCGUAACUGGUCUGAGAGGAUGAUCAGUCACACUGGAACUGAGACACGGUCCAGACUCCUACGGGAGGCAGCAGUGGGGAAUAUUGGACAAAGGGGGGAACCCUGAUCCAGCCAUGCCGCGUGUGUGAAGAAGGUCUUAGGAUUGUAAAGCACUUUAAGUUGGGAGGAAGAGCAGUUAACUAAUAUUUGACUGUUUUGACGUUACCGACAGAAUAAGCACCGGCUAACUUCGUGCCAGCAGCCGCCGUAA